CAACCAUUAGGUGCUGGUCAGGCAGUUGUUAAACUGUCUUGCUAAGAUAAUAGCUGGUUACAGCUGGCACUAGGGAACAGCAAAAACAACUGAAAACAAUGGAAGCUGGUGAUCAGCAGCUUCCCAAUAAGAUCUUGGGAGUUGGGUGAGUGGGCUCAAGCAUGCGCACUAAGAGGUAAAAUGGUGGAGUUUAACUGGUAGACGACCUUCCUCUGGGAACACUGGACUGAUUAGGGAAAAACCCUUCAAGUGAGUGUGCAUGCAACUUCACUAAACGUAUUGUGCAUGCAGCCCCUCCCAAGUGCUGGCAGGCCACUGCUCAUGAGGACAGCCUGCCCAAAGGGAAGAAUGGAGGAGGAGAAAUGGGG
rnacentral:lncRNA from 10 species